CAAACGACUCUCGGCAACGGAUAUCUCGGCUCACGCAUCGAUGAAGAACGUAGCAAAAUGCGAUACUUGGUGUGAAUUGCAGAAUCCCGUGAACCAUCGAGUUUUUGAACGCAAGUUGCGCCCGAAGCCUUUCGGCUGAGGGCACGUCUGCCUGGGCGUCACA
rnacentral:rRNA from 1 species